GACGAACGCUGGCGGCGCGCUUAACACAUGCAAGUCGAACGGAAAGGCCUGCUUUCCCUUGUGGAUUGCGGGUACUCGAGUGGCGAACGGGUGAGUAACACGUGAGUGAUCUGCCCCCAACUUGGGUAUAAGCCUGGGAAACUGGGUCUAAUUCCCGAUAGGACUGCAGGGUGGUGCCUGUGGUGGAAAACGAUUUUCUAGUGGUUGGGGAUGAGCUCGCGGCCUAUCAGCUUGUUGGUGGGGUAAUGGCCUACCAAGGCGGCGACGGGUAGCCGGCCUGGGAGGGUGGACGGCCACAUUGGGACUGAGAUACGGCCCAGACUCCUACGGGAGGCAGCAGUGGGGAAUAUUGCACAAUGGGAGGAAGCCUGAUGCAGCGACGCCGCGUGGGGGAUGACGGCCUUCGGGUUGUAAACUCCUUUCGACCGCGAGGAAGCCACCUGGUUGGAAGGGUGGUGACGGUAGUGGUAGAAGAAGCACCGGCUAACUACGUG
rnacentral:rRNA from 1 species